AGAGUUUGAUCCUGGAUCAGAGCGACGCUGCGCGUGCUUACACAUGCAAGUCGAACGCGCAGUCUCUGUAGCAAUACAGGAGGCCCGUCGCGUGACGAACGGGUGCGUAACACGUGGAUAACCUUCCUUCAGGUGGCGAAUAACCCAGUGAAAAUUGGGCUAAUACCGCAUAACAUGACGAUGGCACAUGCCGUUGUCUUCAAAGCCGCAAGGCGCCAGAUGAGGGAUCCGCGGCCGAUUAGCUUGUUGGCGAGGUAAUGGCUCACCAAGGCAAUGAUCGGUAGCCGGACUGAGAGGUUGGCCGGCCACACUGGAACUGAGACACGGUCCAGACUCCUACGGGAGGCAGCAGUGGGGAAUCUUGCGCAAUGGACGAAAGUCUGACGCAGCAACGCCGCGUGGGGGAUGAAGCUUCUCGGAGUGUAAACCCCUUUCGACCCGGACGAAUGCCCGCAAGGGUUUGACGGUACGGGUAUAAGAAGCCCCGGCUAACUACGUGCCAGCAGCCGCGGUAAAACGUAGGGGGCCAGCGUUGCUCGGGAUUACUGGGCGUAAAGGGUCCGUAGGCGGUGUGGCAAGUCGGAAGUGAAAUCUCUGGGCUUAACCCAGAGGCUGCUCCCGAAACUGCCAUGCUAGAGUGUGAGAGAGGCGAGUGGAAUUGCGGGUGUAGCGGUGAAAUGCGUAGAUAUCCGCACGAACAUCCGAGGGGAAAGCGGCUCGCUGGAUCACAACUGACGCUGAGGGACGAAAGCUAGGGGAGCAAACAGGAUUAGAUACCCUGGUAGUCCUAGCCCUAAACCAUCAGGACUUGGGGUUUGCCCUGU
rnacentral:rRNA from 1 species